CAGCAGAGGACUACGGAACAAUAUUUCGGACUAACUUUGAUCGAAAACCACUAAAUGAAUGUCUUAUAUGGCUACAUUUCUUAAGAAGUGUGGGUUUUCGCCUUCGACGAUAUUAUCGGACUUUUUUUUCGGUUCAAGCGAAGUUAUUAGCAGUUGAAAGCAAAGCUCGCGAAUAGCCUAUAGUCGCUAGUAAUAGUCUAGCCGAUAUCUAAAAUAAAUAAUCUUACCUUGUGAUUCAAUUAUAAUUAAAGCUGAUUUCAAGGAGAAUGUGUAUAGAUUUACUUUUUUUUUUUUCGGAAGUCACCGCCUACGUAUGCAGAGCGUGUGUCAUUGCUGUGACUGGAUCCGACACCACUACGGUCACUUGAGAGCAUAAUACCUUUCCCUGCUGGACCAGAUGGUGAGUUAUUAGCACAUUGUAAAAGGAGACUGAAUGCAUGUAUUAAGGACAGCAAAACAACCAACCAAAUAAAAUAGUCAUGCGUUUCAUGUUUAGCAUCUGUGUUAGAAAACUGUUAGCCUAUAUUUCAAUAUACAUACUAAAAGGGCGCUAAGGCUAUAAUGACAGAGAUAUCAAGAGACGCUAUCUACAUUAGGCCUACUGUACUUGCAGUAUAAGCUAUACUUUAUGUCUGUCUUGAUUGCUCUUGAAGUAUUUGACUCAUGACUUAACACACUAUAUUGAUUGUUUUCCGGGGAGGAGAUAUCACAAAGCAGAAUGCCCCAGUCUUUUUCCCAACAUCACUUAACAGACACAUAGAUGAUGCCGAGGUUGAGGACAAAGUCAGAUUCCGGAACGAGGCCAUCUAUAAAAUCACAAAACUGUUUGAUGGGAAUAUGAAGUCCGUCACCUGGAACAAGAAAAACCUGUACGAUUUCCUCAAAAUUCUAGAAAACCAAUUUGAGAACCUUAAUUCCUGCAACUACAGUGCACAGGUUUGGGAGCUCAUCAGGAAAGAGAUGAAAUGUCAUCUGCAAAGAUUGGAUAUCCUUGUGGCACAGAUGUACUGAUCAUCCAGACUCAUUUCAGAAGCUUGUAGUGGAAAUUUCCUGUAUUUACCAAAUCAUGAGAGCAAACCACCACAAGUCAGAGUUAUCAUAAAGUCCAUCUUUAAUUAUUGUGAGCUCCAUCACAACCCUGUGACUCUCAGAUCAAUUCAGUGUCUAUAAAUGAAUUUUCUGAGAGUGCUUACACAUUGCAACUGAGAUCCUUUAUAGCAAAGACACACAUAGCCAGACAGCAUUGGCUAUAAAUUAUCGUUCAGCUUUGUCUCCUAAACUAUGUUCCUAUCUCACUCUUGGUACCACUCAGGACCAACACCAUUACCCCACCCAAUGGCAUAUAUCAAAUACACCCCCUCCUGGACAAGAUCACAGAGAGUCAGUGACUGGCACACAGACAUUGUGGAGCCAAGAGAUAAUUGGUUCCCCCUCAAUCAUCCCUUCACAUGGUUUAAAAGUCAUGUUUACAUAUGAAGACAAGCUUGACUUCUCCCCUUUUUGUGGCCCAAGUAACUGAACCCUGACAGAGAACAGAUAACUGCAGACGGCCAACACUAUAGUACAACAAAAUACAUUCUAAAUGACAAGUAUCUCACAAGCAUAUUAUGAAAAUAAAACAUCUUAUCUAUGUUACCUAAAGAAUUCUGAUUCUGCAUGAAUACAAUCAUGUGGGACCCUGUCAGUCUAUUUAUUAUAUUUAAAUAAUAAAUUAUUGUUUUUUAUUUUAAUAAUUUAUUAUUUAUAUUUUGUGUUUCCCUUUUGUACCUCUGUUGAACUGUAUUGCCGGUCUACUUGAAAAAGCAGUAAAAAAAAUAUUAUUGAAAAUGUGAAUAAAAACAUAUUUUGUAUAACUAAUAAUUUCGUUCUUGUCAAUGAGAGUGGAUUUAUAAUAUCUUAUAUAACCAUCAGAGGGGAUGCACAUUAAACUUGUUGCUGAUCAGUCACAUGAUAAUAACUA